rnacentral:piRNA from 1 species
UGGGCUCAUCGUGAAGGUGGAGGUGA